rnacentral:rRNA from 1 species
CGUGUAGGCGGUUUGGUAAGUCAGAUGUAAAAGGUCCCGGCUUAACCGGGGAUGGUCAUUUGAAACUGCCAGGCUUGAGUUCGAGAGAGGGUAGCGGAACUCCCAGUGUAGCGGUGAAAUGCGUAGAUAUUGGGAAGAACACCAGUAGCGAAGGCGGCUACCUGGCUCGCAACUGACGCUAAGGCGCGAAAGCGUGGGGAGCAAACA